rnacentral:rRNA from 1 species
AGAGUUUGAUCCUGGCUCAGGAUGAACGCUAGCUACAGGCUUAACACAUGCAAGUCGAGGGGAAACGACAUCGGAAGCUUGCUUUUGAUGGGCGUCGACCGGCGCACGGGUGAGUAACGCGUAUCCAACCUGCCCACCACUUGGGGAUAACCUUGCGAAAGUAAGACUAAUACCCAAUGACGUCUCUAGAAGACAUCUGAAAGAGAUUAAAGAUUUAUCGGUGAUGGAUGGGGAUGCGUCUGAUUAGCUUGUUGGCGGGGUAACGCCACAAGGCGACGAUCAGUAGGGUUCUGAGAGGAAGGUCCCCCANAUUGGAACUGAGACACGGUCCAAACUCCUACGGGAGGCA